AUGGAUCCAGGUACAAACAGGACAGAGACUUCCUGAGCAGAGAGGCUUCAUUAUCUUAAACUACAAGAGAAGGACCCUUGUGUUGAAUUUGGGGGGAAAAAAAGGCAAAGGGGAACUUCUGCGCCCGUCAGCUCUGAACAGAGAGGAGUUCAUUAGCCUUUGCAAAAAAAAAAAAAAAGAAGAAAAGCGCCAGCUCAGUUUUCGGCAGCUGUUACACUUUCUCUUGAAUUCAGUAAGACUGAA
rnacentral:lncRNA from 1 species